UAUAUGAAAAAAAUAUGUAUGUUGAUUCAACAUCUGCCUAUCGGGUUGAGAUUAAUUGAGCCGAACCUAAACCUCACUCGUGGCCAAAAUCUUGAGCUGUGUCCGGUUUGACUCGGGUUAGACCGGGUUCUUGGCUAGGGUUGGAUCAGAUCAAGAUACCGCGGGGUCAAAAUUGAUCCAAAUAUUGUGGUCAAAUUUCAAAUUGGGUUCGAGUUAGGGCUUAAUCUGACCGCGUAGCCCAAGUUGUUGACCCAAGGCCGAAUCCUUCCAUGUUAUUGAACGGCUCGCAAGCCCCAAAAGCCUUGAAACGUCUUCAGCCUCGGACGACACUUCCCCAUCAGAGGAGAGGGACAAUAACGCUUAGGGAAGAAAGAGGCCGAAGGAGAGAGCAUGAAAGGAUCGAAAAUGUAAAGCUUUGGGGUUUAAUAAGAGGAGGGUGGAGGGCCGAGGGAGUAAACCCAAAGCCCUUGGACUCAAGACUCGGAAGCCGAAUCCCGUCAGCGCAAUUUGCUAGGUACAGGUAAGUAGUUUUGAUCUUCCGCCGGGAAAACGAUGCCCGGUUUAAGGUUGUAGAUUUGAUCUUGUUAAUGAGUUUUCAAGGAGAGUUUGAAAUGCAUCUGCCAUGAGUUUUCACAUUUUCUAGUUUACAACACUUGAUUAGCUUUUUUGUGUUCUCACGGAAUAUUUUUUGAUAGUGAAAGCAGAAAUCAAAUUUGAGUACAACCUGGGUUCAUCUUCCUCUGAUUUUAUGGUGUAUUGUAGUUAAGUUCUGCGGACUGUUUAUCUUCAGCAACAAUUAGAAAUUUCAUUUCUAGGGCAUCUGUUUGCCGAUUAGUGAAUUGUUCGAAAUCAUUUUGCACUAAAUAGUCCGCUUGGAAAUACUUGAUUGUCUAUUCAAGUACAUCACUUGCAGUGUGUGUAUGUGUAACUAGACCUUGACAUCCUGCAAGUUGACCAACAAUGUGCAUUGAAAUAUACAAAUUUAGAUACCCUCUUUAUUCUCUCAAGCAUCAUCUCCUCAUAUUUUUUUUUGUCUUUCCCUACUUUAGUCCAUAUAGUCAUCAUCUCCUCCCUCUCCAAGCAAUGUGGUUAGCAAAUAUAAAUUGCUAUAUGUAGCAUUUGGUUUUUUCGCUGCAAGUGCUCCAUGUAGGAUCAAGCAAACAUCCUAAUCAAGAAAGCAUACGAGUCUUCAGCCUUCACUAUUACAGACUACUGUGCACAAUGAAGACUUGUUCUUUUGACCAAAAAUAACAUAGUUUUGGAGCCACUACCGUACACAAUAAGAAGUUGCAUGCGUUCACUGUAUGUAAAUCUAAUACUUGUGUGCUGUUUUCCCAGCAGGAGGAGCUGUGCACAACCCAGUUUUAGAGAGUGAGACCUGUAACUAAUAACAGAAGACAUUUCCCAGAAUACGGAUAGACAGAUCAACACCACAACUAGAGGUGUGCUCAGAAAGAAGUACAAGUUGCAAGCUCUUUCCUGCUUCAAGAUUCAUUUCGUGAACAUCAAGUAAACAUGGUCCAGUGCUGGAAAGGCCCCUCUGCAAAGAUCCAUUUGUGCAGUCUACUGACCUUAGACACCCAGAGCUGAC